GAUGAACGCUGGCGGCGUGCUUAACACAUGCAAGUCGAACGAAGCACUUUAUUUGAUUUCCUUCGGGACUGAUUAUUUUGUGACUGAGUGGCGGACGGGUGAGUAACGCGUGGGUAACCUGCCUUGUACAGGGGGAUAACAGUUGGAAACGGCUGCUAAUACCGCAUAAGCGCACGGCAUCGCAUGAUGCAGUGUGAAAAACUCCGGUGGUAUAAGAUGGACCCGCGUUGGAUUAGCUAGUUGGUGAGGUAACGGCCCACCAAGGCGACGAUCCAUGACCGACCUGCGAGGGUGACCGGCCACAUUGGGACUGAGACACGCCCAAAACUCCUACGGGAGACAGCAGUGGGGAAUAUUGCACAAUGGGCGAAAGCCUGAUGCAGCGACGCCGCGUGAGCGAAGAAGUAUUUCGGUAUGUAAAGCUCUAUCAGCAGGGAAGAUAAUGACGGUACCUGACUAAGAAGCACCGGCUAAAUACGUGCCAGCCGCCGCGGUAA
rnacentral:rRNA from 1 species